GGGUCGGGACAGCAGUUGGUAGAGCAGUUGGCUUUUAACCAAUUGGUCGUAGGUUCGAAUCCCACACGACCCACCA
rnacentral:tRNA from 1 species